CUGACAUCUCGAAGCAGGCGCGGCGGUGACGGGAAGGUGGACACGGGGCGGGCUGAGUGCUGGGCGCCCCGGCCCGUCCCGUCCCGUCCCGGGGAGGCUGUCGAAGGCCGCCCGCUCCGGAGCACGCUGGGCAGUGGCCCUGCUGGUCGCUGCUGUCCGGAACCUUCCCCCGGGACUGGAACUCGCCCUGUUCAGUGCUGCUUAGACUCAGACGCAAUCCCUCCCCACGACUCCAGCUCCGCUUAGGACAGAAUGUCUCCUCCGGGUCUCCUGGGGCCACAAGGUGCCACAGCCCCUGUCCCUCAGGGAGAGGAGCCCGCCCCUGCGGGAACUGAGGGAACGGGGUCGUGACAGCACAGCGAGCUCAGGGCUGGGGGGGACACCAGGCUCUCCAGGGCCCUGCCUGUGGAAGCUUCCAGAUCCUGGGUUUACGGGGAAACAGCCGCCAAGAGGGAGCACGUCAGACCCUACAAAGUGCAGCCCCCCGCUCGCCGCCCUGCGUCCUCCCCCGGCUUCGCUGCCGUAGGGAAGGGAUAAUUCCCGCUCUGCCAAGCUGUGGUGCAGAAAUGCCCACGGAGCCCUGCCACGUGUCAGGCCUUCCAGGUAGGCCCCGAAGACUCCGCCGCGAGCGGCCAGCCCCGCCCCGUGGGGACAGAGGCAGCGGGGACAGCUGCACACACUCACGACCGGACGCCAGAGGGACGUCGGGACACCGUGGACUGUGAGCUUAUCUUUGGACCCGAGGCCCAGCCAUCCCCCUGGGAAGCAGUAUGGGGAGCUAAGAAGCCUGAGAGGGGGUUCUGUGAGUACUGGGGGACACUCAGGCAUUUUCCACCACCCCUGGCCACGGGGAAGGUGAAGGGGUCCCUCACCUUGACCUCAGCCUGCUGAGAAGGCAUGAUGUGCUCCUCGCAGCUUGGGGGGCACAGGAGGUACCAAGACCCUAGGGAGGUGCU